GGUCUAGUACAACCAGAACGGAGGGAAACAGAAGUCCAAUGAUUUAUGACCCAAUUAAAUCCUCCAGUUAUCAGAAACAGCUAGAAUCUUAAAUUGUAAACCACGUUUUCAGUUGAAUAGAGUAACUUUAUAAUCUUUCAAUGUUUACAAUUAGGCUGAGACAAAACCUCACAGCUUCACAAAUCCAUUCUCUGAUUCAAUAAUCGUCCUUUUCAUCACAGUUCCACAAUCCAAGAAGAAUGGUGAAGGUAUAAACAUAUCUUUGCAAGUCAAAGCAAAAGGCAAAGCAUUUGAUCAUGUGGAAGGAUCUCUUUCCUGUGUUGAAAGCUUUUAAUAUUUAAGGCCAUGCGUGGGGAUGUGGUAGAAAGGAGGCGAUUAGCUGACGGAGGAGGUGGCGGCGACUGGCUGACAGCGCACGAGAGUUUGGAAAGCAAGAAGGCAGCAGCCAGAGAGGAGUGUGGGCAGCAGCUUUGGAAAGCCAGGGAGUUUGCCGGCUGGGGUUGUGAAGCAGGGAGUUUGGGGACUGGGGACGGAGUUUGUGGAAGGCUGCAACAUAAAGCCCCUGGUGGCGCAGUGGUAAAACUGCCGCCCUGUAACCAGAAGGUUACAAGUUCGAUCCUGACCAGGGGCUCAAGGUAGACUCAGCCUUCCAUCCUUCCGAGGUCGGUAAAAUGAGUACCCAGAAUGUUGGGGGCAAUAUGCUAAAUCAUUGUAAACCGCUUAGAGAGCUCCGGCUAUAAAGCGGUAUAUAAUUGUAAGUGCUAUUGCUAAAGCGCCAGGGAAUUUGGCAGAAGGGGGCGGAUGGUGGUUCGCCGCCUCCAAAUGCGCCAGGGAACUUGAGUCCGCCUCAAAACGUGCGAAGGAGCUUGAGGGUGCUGCAGAAAGCAGUUGGGUAGCAGGGAGGCCGUUGUUAGUGCCCGCCUGCCACACUCGCCAUUGGGAGUUUGCCGGCUGGAGUCAGUUGCAUGAAGGCGGUGCAGAAAGUGGAGGGGCGGCAGAGAGGCUGUUGUUACUGCCCCCCCACCACACCUGCCAUCGGGAGGGAGCUUACUGGCUGGGGUCCUGAAGCAGGGAGUUCAGGGACUGGGAACAGAAGGGGUUUGUGGUGGGCUGCUACAUAAAGUGCCAGGGAAUUGGACGGAAGUGGGCAGGUGGCAGUUCACUACUUCAAAACAUGCCAAGGAGCUUGAGGCUGGCACGAAGGUGCUGCAGAAAGUGGUUGGGCAGCAGGGAGGCCAUUGUUUGUGCCAGCCUGCCACACCCGCUGUCGGGAGAGAAAUAAUGGCGGUGGCAAGGAGGUGGGCAGACAGCGGGUGAAGCCCCACCGACCGGGAGGAGGAGGUGGAAGGCAGCGGUAGGACAGGAGGCAGCGGUGGGGAGAAAUAAUGGUGGCAGCGAGGAGGAGGGCGGCCAGCAGGCAGGCAAAGCCCCACUGGCCAGGAAGAGGAGGUGGCGGUGGGACAGCCCAGCCCAACUAGAGGCGCAGAUGCUCUGCGCCUGGGCCCACUAGUUUAUUAUUAACUUGGCUCAAGUACAGUUACAAUUAAGUGCACCUAUUUGACUUCUAGUUUAUGUGAUUAGGCAUGAAAGAUUCUACAGCAAUUUACACAUUAAAGAUACUUUUACAUUGGGACAAGUUAAAUUGUCACAGAUGUCAGCAUUUAAAUCAGCAGGAUUCAUUCUAUGAGAAAUGAUAGCUACAAAGACAGGAUGGGAAAGCCUUUUUGGUUUCAAUAUUUAGAAAUUAGAUACUUUGUUCUACAAGAUUUGAAGGUCAUUAGGCACUUAGGCACAAA